CCUUGAGCGAAUUUUUAUUUUUAUUUUUUUUAUUCUUUCAUUUUAUGUACUAUUUAUACAUUAACAAAUAGGAAUACUGAAAAUGUAUUCGAGACCUGGUUUAUUAUUAUAGGGCCGUAUCUCUGUAGGAUCCAGUUAUGCAAUAUAUAAAUCUAGGAUCUGCAACUUAGUAAUGUCCUGCUGCCCUACUUGUCGGAUCCACAAUUUCUUGGUAAGUGAAAAAAUAUCCCUACAGGGUACCAGUCAGGACACAUACGACUUAAUCUUGGGUAUUACAGAGUGUAAUUUUAUGUAUGCAUUGUGUUAGCAGACAUGCUUGUAAAUGUCUAGAUUUCUCUAAAACCAGCCCUAUCCCUCUCCUCUUAGUCAGUUCAAUCUGUG